AAUAAUAAUAAUAAUAAUAAUAACCCAUAAACCUUUACCUCUCAUUUCCCAUCUCUUUCUUUCUUUCUUCUUCACUUUCCCUUUCUCAACACCAAAAAUCAUCAACCACUAGCUGCCGGCAGCCGCCGCCACCAGCUUCCACCGCCGGCCACCAGAAGCCGCCACCGCCAGUGGUCCCCCUCUGAAGUUAAUUGAAGUUCUUUGCCUUUUCCAUCAUCCUCUCAACUCUUUGGUGCCCAAUUCAUAAGAGAAGCUUGAGAAUCUCAUAUUUGGCGGGUGGUAGCUUUUUGUCUUGCAGUUACAAUUGCAAAUACGCACACGCGCAGGAUCAUCCUAGAUAGGAGUAAUAGGUAUUGGAGCUUUUUCUGCAUUACAUUGGGGGAAAGUGAUGAGUGCGAAGCAUAACACGAGUUAUGCAUUGGUCUUUUGACUUCGUAGCUCUUUUAUGUCUUUUGUAAACUUUAGGUUGUAUAUGCUUUUGGUAUGAGGCAUUGUGUCCUCCGUUGUAUUUUAAUGUAUAUUUUAAAAACAAUUUCUUACUUACAUAUAAAAUAUUUUUUUUGAAACAAUCAAACUCUUUAACAUUCUUAUUUAAUUAAAUAACUGUAUAAAUACGUAAAUUUUUUCCUUAUUAAAUGCAGAUUAAUUAUAAUAAUUAUUAUUUUUUUCAUUAAAUGCAUGAUUGUAAUUGAAAAGGGAUUCGGUAUUGGUAUAUAUCAUGCAAUCUACUAAUUUUAUUGUAUAAUAGUAUAAGGUAGUUUGAUUGUGAGCAUGACAUUUGUCUUUUUUUCAUUGGACGCUAUUAAUGGAAUUUGACUAAUUGACAUUUCUUUUUGGAUUUACCAUAUUUGUAAAUUUGCAUUGUUGGAAAAAUUUAUACAUUGAUAGAUACCAUAAAUAACAAUUAUUCCAAUUACACUAUCAUACAAUCUAUUAAUUUUAUUGUAUAAUAGCACAAAGCAGUUUGAUUGUGAGUAUGACAUUUGUCUUUUUUUCUUUGGACGCUACUAAUGGAAUUUGACAAAUUGACAUUUCUUUUUGAAUUUACCAUAUUUAUAAAUUUGUAUUGCAAGAAAAAUUUAU